AUUGAACGCUGGCGGAAUGCUUUACACAUGCAAGUCGAACGGCAGCACGGACUUCGGCCUGGUGGCGAGUGGCGAACGGGUGAGUAAUGUAUCGGAACGUGCCCAGUCGUGGGGGAUAACGUAGUGAAAAUUACGCUAACACCGCAUACGAUCUAUGGAUGAAAGCGGGGGAUCGCAAGACCUCGCGCGAUUGGAGCGGCCGAUAUCAGAUUAGGUAGUUGGUGGGGUAAAGGCCCACCAAGCCAACGAUCUGUAGCUGGUCUGAGAGGACGACCAGCCACACUGGAACUGAGACACGGUCCAGACUCCUACGGGAGGCAGCAGUGGGGAAUUUUGGACAAUGGGCGAAAGCCUGAUCCAGCCAUUCCGCGUGCAGGAUGAAGGCCCUCGGGUUGUAAACUGCUUUUGUACAGAACGAAAAGGUUUCUACUAAUACUAGGAGCUCAUGACGGUACUGUAAGAAUAAGCACCGGCUAACUACGUGCCAGCAGCCGCCGUAA
rnacentral:rRNA from 1 species